UACAGAGGGGGCAAGCGUUGUUCGGAAUUACUGGGCGUAAAGGGCGCGUAGGCGGCCUGUUAAGUCGGUGGUGAAAUCCUGGAGCUCAACUCCAGAACUGCCUUCGAUACUGGGAGUCUUCGAGUUCGGGAGAGGUGAGUGGAACUGCGAGUGUAGAGGUGAAAUUCGUAGAUAUUCGCAAGAACACCAGUGGCGAAGGCGGCUCACUGGCCCGAUACUGACGCUGAGGUGCGAAAGCGUGGGGAGCAAACAGG
rnacentral:rRNA from 1 species